UACGUAGGGUGCGAGCGUUGUCCGGAAUUACUGGGCGUAAAGGGCUUGUAGGUGGUUUGUCGCGUUGUUCGUGAAAGGCCACAACUCAAUUGUGGGCGUGCGGGCGAUACGGGCAGACUGGAGUACUGCAGGGGAGACUGGAAUUCCUGGUGUAGCGGUGGAAUGCGCAGAUAUCAGGAGGAACACCGGUGGCGAAGGCGGGUCUCUGGGCAGUAACUGACGCUGAGGAGCGAAAGCGUGGGGAGCGAACAGG
rnacentral:rRNA from 1 species